UACGUAGGGUGCGAGCGUUGUCCGGAAUUAUUGGGCGUAAAGAGCUUGUAGGCGGUCUGUCGCGUCUGCUGUGAAAAUCCCGGGGCUCAACCCCGGAUCUGCGGUGGGUACGGGCAGACUAGAGUGAUGUAGGGGAGACUGGAAUUCCUGGUGUAGCGGUGAAAUGCGCAGAUAUCAGGAGGAACACCGAUGGCGAAGGCAGGUCUCUGGGCAUUAACUGACGCUGAGGAGCGAAAGCAUGGGGAGCGAACAGG
rnacentral:rRNA from 1 species